UUUCCGUAGGUGAACCUGCGGAAGGAUCAUUACUGAGUGCGGGCCCUCUGGGUCCAACCUCCCACCCGUGUUUAUUAUACCUUGUUGCUUCGGUGAGCCCGCCUCACGGCCGCCGGGGGGGAUCUGCCCCCGGGCCCGCGCCCACCGAAGACACCUAGGACUCUGUAUGAAGAUUGCAGUCUGAGCAAAAACUAAAUAAGUUAAAACUUUCAACAACGGAUCUCUUGGUUCCG
rnacentral:misc_RNA from 1 species